CGUCUAGGCGGAUGAGCAAGUCGGCUGUGAAAUCCCUCGGCUCACCCGAGGAAGUGCAUCCGAUACUGCCUGUCUUGAGGACGAGAGGGGAGAGUGGAACUCCUGGUGGAGCGGUGAAAUGCGUAGAUAUCAGGAGGAACGCCGGUGGCGAAAGCGACUCUCUGGCUCGUUUCUGACGCUGAAGCGCGAAAGCUAGGGGAGCGAACG
rnacentral:rRNA from 1 species